UAGACUAACAGAAGUUAGUCUAUAAGGUGCCACAAGACUCUUUGUCGCUUGAAACUUUAUGGUAACUGGUGACCAGUUUCCCCCCCCAGUUCAGUUCAGAUUCAGGGUUGCUGAGUAAGAGAAAAAUUAUGGAUCAAGUCUGGCUCCAACUCCGUUAAAAAGACCAGUUCAAACUGGUUCUGGUUCGGUUCUGGUGUGAGUCCAGGCGGGCAAAUGAAAUCUGCGGCUUCUGAACUGACCCUGAGGGGAAAACUGGUCACCAGUUACCAUAAAGUUUCAAGCGAAACUGUUUCUCUCUGCCCCUAGAGUUAGUUGUUUUUUCUGGGUCAGACGCUGCUGCCUCCGACGUCGUGAUCUGGGAGCCCAGCCGGAGCAGCUGCUGCUCCCCCAGCCGGGUCUGUGCUGGGGGGAGACCUUCAUUAACGCCCCCUCUGUGCCCAGCCCAGGUGGGGACUUUCCCCCAUGGCUGGAACUAGCCCCGGGCUCUGCCCGCACCAGCCCUGAGCCGGAGCCUCCAGGCGAUGCGGAGAGAACUGCGGGAAAGUGCUGGGGACGGGCAGGAAAGUGACUUUUCAGGGACCAGCGGGCUGAAGAAUCACGUCCACAUUUCGCUCCAGAUCGUCCCAUCUUCCAGGAGACAGGGAAGAGACAUGGCUGUGGUGUAGCUCAGAUACCGGUGACCUUCGAGGAGGUGGCUGUUGUAUUUCACUG